rnacentral:snRNA from 1 species
GUCACUUCUUGGCCUUUUGGCUAAGAUCAAGUGUAGUACCUGUUCUUACCAGUUUAAUAUUUUUAUCACCCAGUGUACAAUAACAAGGCCAAACCCUUAUUAAUAACAAUUUUACUGCCAUCCUUC